CACUAAAAAAUCCUGGGUUAUUUUUUCUACCCAAGUGCUGGGUUGAGCCAUUUGGGUAAAUUUUUUGGGUUAUUUUCUCAGUCUUGGGUAGUUUUUGGGUAGUUCUAUGUAACCCAACCGCUGGGUUAUUUUCUGGGUCGUUUUCACUGAGAGCUGAAUCAAUGCACCCCCUCCCCCACUCGGACGCAAUAACCCAGCUCAUUGGGUCAAAUCAACUCCGCGCAGGAUCAGCGCAGCGCGGGCUGACUGAAUUCGAGGUGGAGGUGGAUGCCACACACACGCUGUAAUAUUUGGAGAAAUAAGACCUGCUCUUGACUGUCCGUGGUGGCAAAUCCACAGCCUUUAGCUGGAGUAGAAUCAACCGUAUCUGAAGAGAGAGCUGAGGAAAUUAAACAAUGGCUGAGAAACAACACACAGCCCAUCAGCCAGGUGGAACAGUACAUCUGAAAAAUAUGUUUGAGGUCCUCCAUGAGUUUCCUCGGCUAACUACCUCAGGCAUGAUGCAAAGGGAAAUCUUGCACUAAAGCUAUUACCUGUUUUGCUUCUACCUCCACCCUACAAAUUUGGCAGAAAAACAGUCCGACCCAGCAUUGAUGAAAGCAAAAAAGCUUUCAUUGACAUUCAGCCUGUUGGAACAAAUAUGGUGGAGUACCUCCAGCAGGCUGAAGCAUCAAGACCUUACCCUUAUGUCCUGUAACUUGAAAAUGGACACAUUGCGUCGCGGGCAUUUGUCAUCCUCGCAGGAGAAGCUUUGGAACAAAGAACUAUUGUUUAAGGGGAAGUCAUGGCCUAAUGGUUAGAGAGUUGGACUCGCAAUUUAAGGGUUGUGUGUUCGAGUCUCGGGCCGACAGGAAUUGUAGGUGAGAGGAGUGAAUGUAUAGUGCUCUCUUCCACCCUCAAUACCACGACUUAGGUGCCCUUGAGCAAGGCAUCGAACCCCCAACUGCUCCCCGGGUACCGCAGCACAAAUGGCUGCCCACUGCUCCGGGUGUGUGUUCACAGUGUGUGUGUGUGUUCACUGCUCUGUGUGUGUGCACUUCGGAUGGGUUAAAUGCAGAGCGUGAAUUCUGAGUAUGGGUCACCAUACUUGGCUGAAUGUCACAUCACUUUCACUUCACUUCAUUGGGACAGUAAAUGUAUGUUUCAAAUCGUUUUAUGUUUUUGAUGUAAACUAACCGAAACAUUGUUUCUAUAUUAGGGAGUUUAUUCAUAAUAUUUUUGAGUUGGAGGGAAGUGAAUCCCCAACAGUGAAUUUUUUGCAAUGGGCACUACAUUCUUGCAAGUAGAUUAUAAGAGGUUCUUUGAACAAACAGUGGUUCAAGAACACGAAGUAGUAUUUUAGUUUAAGUUUUAUUUGCACAUGAGAUUUUUGUUCUGUUUUUUUUUUGUAUAAACAACUGUUUUAUUGCUUGAGGAAGAGUAUUACUUUAUGCGUACUGAUUAUCAAUUACAUUUUUAUGUAGAAAUCUUUUACUGCCAAUACGUUGUAUUUCAUAGAUUUAUUUUUGUGUUCAUUUUGUAGACUUAAAACAACAGGUCCAUAAUGUAGACUUAAAACAAAUGUGCUUUGUAACAAACAGUUCUUGAGGUAAAGUAUUUUAGUUUUAAUUUCAGGUGCAUAUGGAUUAUUUAAAAAUAAGUAUUUAUUUGUAUAUUUAAAAAAAACCUUGAGGUUUUUUGGAGUUCAUGAAUUUCAUGAGCAUAUGGAUUAAAAAUAAUAUGAAUUAUUUUUUAAAUGCAUAAAAAAGUGUAAUUACAAAGUGUAAUAUGCUGAAAGAAAAAUAAAGAUAAUACAAUGUUGUCCUGUUUGUUUAUUAUGUGGUAUAUUUAAUGUUAAAAGGAAUAAAAAUUCCUUUGAAAAUAUAACCCAUUUAUGAAAUCAAAUUAACCCAUUAUUUUUGUAAAAAUAACCAAUUUUUGGGUAGAAAAAACAACCCAUUUGCUGGGUUAAAAUUAAUAACCCAACUUCUUGGGUUAGUUUAACCCCAUAUGGGUUCUGUCCUAUAUUUACCCAGCAGUUGUGUUAAAAACAACCCAAUUUGGGUUGUUUUUAACCCAGUGUUUUUUAG